ACCAGAAGAUCAAAACACACCAACAUGAACCCUAAUUCUACACAUUCAUAAGCGAACCCUCAAUCUACAAAUUAAGCUUCUUGAAUCGAUCCCAAUAACGAAAAUAUGAGUUCAUCAUCAUCGUCUGCUUCAAUUCGUUCAAAAAACCCCAAAAUUUUCAGAUUUGGCACGGAUGGAAAAGUUUAUUGUAACCAUGAAUUAGUUACAAGCCAUAGGGUGGCUGGAAAGGGGCGGAUCUAGGCCACUUGUAUUAUAUGCGCUUAUCUAAAAUCAUAAUUUUGAAGGAGCUAUCAUUAUAUAGGUGCAGAAGAGGCGGAUAUAUGAUAUAACAAACGUCCUUGAAGGCAUUGGUCUUAUCGAAAAGAAGCUCAAGAACAGAAUCCGCUGGAAGGGCCUUGAUGCUACUAAACCCGAAGAGAUGGAGGAUGAUGUCCCCCUGUUACAGACAGAGGUUCAAAGACUUUCUAUGUAAGAACAUGGAUUGGAUGAAAACAUAAGACAAAUGUAGGAAAGAAUGAGAGAUUUGAGUGAAGAUGACAACAACGAAAAGUACAUGCUUUCUUUCACAAAAUAGUUUUUGUUAAUUUAAACAACAAGAAUGUAGCAACAAUUUUAGCAUGCCUGAUCGUUUGCAGCUUUCUUCUUGAGAUGGAUUUUAGGAUUUUCAAGAGAUGGUGUUUUGAUCGUUGGUGUGUUAUGUUGGGGUCAAUGCCCCUUUUUAUAGUCAGUCAACAGUAAAGGAUUAAAAUAAAUCAUGUCAUUGGAAAUAAAUAAUCUCAUUUGAGUCAUUUAACAUGUGGCAGCGACGUCACAAUUUUUUAUAACGUCGUUAACUAGAUUUAACUGUGGAGUACUUUACAAAAAAUACUGGACGAGAUUUGA